rnacentral:lncRNA from 1 species
UCCAUUGGGAAUUUUGGCUUUGUUUACAAAACACUGUCAGGUGUUUUGAUCACAGUGUGUGUGCUUCCUUUUCCUGGCAGUAGCUCCUUGCCCAAGGGAGAGCACUCACUGAAUUUGGAUGGUUCUGUGGCCCCAGGUCCUGCUCUCUCAGUCAGAAGCAAAGGACCGGUGGUACCCCCUCAGUGUGAAGCAGUGGGAAGGACAGACAGACCUGCCAGUGACCACAGGAGCCUGAGCAGGACUCUGCCUGUGCUCUGCUGUCUCCUGCUGCAUCCUGGAGAAGCCAAAGCACAGCAGGAGCCCUGGCAUGUGCUGACACAGCUGGAGGGCCUGGCCAUGCCCUGCUGCUGUGGAAGGUUCCCCCUGAUCAGCUGCAGCAGGGCAGGAUGGAGCUCAAGUUUUAAGAGCUGGUUGUGUUUGGCUGGGGAGUCCUGUACCACCGGGAAGCUGUUCUGGAGACUUCUCUGCCUGCAUUCAAAAAAUGGGAGAAAAUGCAUAAUAUCCUCGGGUAUUCAGGUCCCCUGCUCCGAGGGACACUCGGACAGACUUCAGGCCGCUUGUAUUACUUUCUGACAGAGGAGGGAGCUGUCAGCUCAGCAUUGAGCAUUUCAGCAGGCAGCGGUGCCCACCUGGGAGCUGCCGAAGCUGUCCGGGCCGCCCGCUGGAGGGACAUGUUCAGCUUGAUGUGCAGGAGAUGGAGCUAAUUUGGAAGGGCUUAAAUGUGCUGUAAGUGCAUGUAUGGGGUGUUUGUGUCCCUGUACAAUGAAACCACAGCCGCGGGUCUGCAGGAGCAGUGGGGCUGAGAAGCUGUUUGGAGGUGGAACGUUUGGCAGUGGGACCUUGCAGUUUCUGUGGCUGUAGCAGUGUCCCCUUCCAUUGUACCAAGAGUCCCCAGAAACCUGGACAACACCUUCCUGACCAGAGCCAGAGCACCCUCCUCUGUGCCACAGCAAUGCAAGCAGCCCUUUUAGCUGGGAGACCUGCCAGGCAGCAGAAACAGGCAAAGAAACAGCUACAUUAAACUGGUCUGAGGCUGGCUCAAGCCAACGUGGACUGGUCUGAAGUGGAAUAACAACCUGAUUCCAUCUCCUGCUUCUCCUGGUACAACCCACAGCAGCCUUCCUGCCCCAGCCAGUGGCAGUGUUGCGAGGUAUGGCUUAAUUACAGCCCUGAAAUGAAAAUAAUUUCUUCAUUAGAUGUUGCUUUACAACUGCAUCAGUCAUCUCCUGUCCAGCUGCUGGUGGCAGGGCUCCAAGUGGGCUGGAUGGGGCUGGUUUGGCAGGUACGUGGGGUGGUGGUGGUUGGAGCGUGCAGCCAGGCAGAGCAGGGUUAAGUCAGGAGCUCCCGGUGACGUUGCUAAAUUCAGUUUGCCACAAAGAUCUUUUUCUCCUUCAUGCUGGAGCUGUGUUUCUGCAGUCUCACUGCCUUCAGAAA